UACAGAGGGGGCAAGCGUUAUUCGGAAUUAUUGGGCGUAAAGGGCGCGUAGGCGGCCUGGCAAGUGGAAGGUGAAAUCCCUCGGCUUAACCGGGGAACUGCGUCUGAUACUGGAUGGCUUGAGUUCGGGAGAGGGAUGCGGAAUUCCAGGUGUAGCGGUGAAAUGCGUAGAUAUCUGGAGGAACACCGGUGGCGAAGGCGGCAUCCUGGACCGAUACUGACGCUGAGGAGCGAAAGCCAGGGGAGCAAACGGG
rnacentral:rRNA from 1 species